rnacentral:lncRNA from 1 species
GAGAAUUGUACUGUAAUUUUAGUACGUGGCAAGUUAGUCUGUUAUAGUGUGAAUUCCUGUAAUGUGAACAUUGAUCCAUACAGAAAUAGAAUCCAAAGUAGCAGGAGCGGAAGGCAUGUAUUUAAAUAUGAAUCUGAAGAAGAAUGAUCAACAACAGCAGAUGUCUGACCUCAGCUGAGACCUCUGAAAGAGCUCCCCUCAAAGGUUCAUUCAGUAAUGCAACCUUGCCAUUUGAGCUCAUUCCAAAGCCUACAUGGAUCUUAACUGCCUUUGCAGAUGGAAGCCUCAGCCAGUUGAUGUCAAGAAACACUACAAGGAAAAAAAAAUUCACCCCUUGAGUCCUGGAAAGCCUGUAUCAGGGAGAAGACAAUAAUGGCGUAUUCUACAGGUUGCUCUAGGACUGGAUGGAAAUGAAGAGAAUCAGCAAAAGACUGAUUUAUAUUGAGUUGAAGAGCAAUAAAAAAAUGUUUGUAGUCUCCAUGUACUACCAAAAUAUGCAUUGGCAUUUAUUGGAUAGUAUGGUGUUCUAUAGAAAUAUGAGGUUUGCAAAUAAAGUAACUAUUUGGACAUUGUGGAAGGAAAAAUCAAAGUUCUCUGUGACCAUGUGCCUUUACAGUGUGACUUUUUCACAGCUUUCAUCAAGACAUGGAAGCUCUUUCCCCACCUCUUGCGUCUAGGCUGUGUUUUCACUUGCUUUGACCAAUAGAAGAUGAAAGAAUGACAUUAUGCAAUUGUAAGCCUUCGAUUUUUACUCUUUGGGAACUCUAGCCAAAGACUACCACAAAAGGAAGCCAGUCUAGUCAGCUGGAGACUGAUACACCAUGAGGAAAAAAGAUCCACAGUGAUCAAGAAGACGGCCAGCUUCAACUGUCAGACCUACGAGUCUGGCCAUCUUGCAUCUUCCGACCCAGCUGAUCCUGAGCUUAAUGAAGCUACAUGAGUGAGUGCUAUGGAGAAAGCACAGCCAGCCAACAUUCUUGUGAGAAAUAACAAGUCUUUUUUUUUUCCUUCAGCUUUUAUUUUAAGUUCUGGGGUACAUGUGCAAGAUG